AUAAUGGGACCAGCUGGGAAUUUGGUGUGAUCAUGAAGGAGAUUUUCCCAGGGUGAGGGUGAGGCUCAUCCAUUACACUGUGAGUGUCCUGACCCCUGUGAUUUCCCCAAAUGCGGGAAACUCAACUGCAUAAUUUGUGGCAUGAAUUUUC